AUGGGAUGAUGCGGCAACUCGCGAAAGCUAUGGGAAACCGGUCGCACCCGAAGCACCACCAAUGUGGAACCGUUUCGGGAGGCC
rfam:Tick-borne encephalitis virus isolate Primorye-696, complete genome